AAGCCCCGGCAGGCGUAAACCUGCUACUUGGGAUUUGCAAUCUCAUAUGUGUACACACCUCAGGGCU
rnacentral:tRNA from 1 species